UGGGGAAUUUUGGACAAUGGGGGAAACCCUGAUCAAGCCAUCCCGCGUGUGCGAUGAAGGCCUUCGGGUUGUAAAGCACUUUUGGCAGGAAAGAAACGUCAUGGGAUAAUACCCCGUGAAACUGACGGUACCUGCAGAAUAAGCACCGGCUAACUACGUGCCAGCAGCCGCGGUAAUACGUAGGGUGCAAGCGUUAAUCGGAAUUACUGGGCGUAAAGCGUGCGCAGGCGGUUCGGAAAGAAAGAUGUGAAAUCCCAGAGCUCAACUUUGGAACUGCAUUUUUAACUACCGGGCUAGAGUGUAUCAGAGGGAGGUGGAAUUCCGCGUGUAGCAGUGAAAUGCGUAGAUAUGCGGAGGAACACCGAUGGCGAAGGCAGCCUCCUGGGAUAACACUGACGCUCAUGCACGAAAGCGUGGGGAGCAAACAGG
rnacentral:rRNA from 1 species